GACGAACGCUGGCGGCGUGCUUAACACAUGCAAGUCGAACGGAAAGGCCCCAGCUUGCUGGAGUGCUCGAGUGGCGAACGGGUGAGUAACACGUGGGCAAUCUGCCCUGCACUCUGGGAUAAGCCUGGGAAACUGGGUCUAAUACCGGAUAGGACCUUUCUCCUCAUGGGGUUUGGUGGAAAGUUUUUCGGUGCAGUAUGAGCCCGCGGCCUAUCCGCUGGUUGGUGGGGUAAUGGCCUACCAAGGCGACGACGGGUAGCCGGCCUGUGAGGGUGAUCGGCCACAUUGGGACUGAGAUACGGCCCAGACUGCUACGGGAGGCAGCAGUGGAGAAUAGUGCACAAUGGGCGAAAGCCUGAUGCAGCGACGCCGCGUGGGGGAUGACGGCCUUCGGGUUGUAAACCUCUUUCAGUAGGGACGAAGCGCAAGUGACGGUACCUGCAGAAGAAGCACCGGCUAACUACGU
rnacentral:rRNA from 1 species